AAAGGAAAAAAAAAAAAAGAAAGAGAAAAGAAGAAAGAAGAAAAGGCUAGAAGAGCGAGAGAAACUCAUUUCUUUUCCUCCAUUUUCUCCUCCUUCCUCUGCCGAGAACCACAAAAAAAUUUCCAUUUUUCAUCUUUUCUCUUCUAUACCAAAAUUGCUUCAAAAUUUCACCUCCAAUUAAUUCCCCAUCUUCUCCCAACACCUUUCCAAAGAAGAAUUUGAAGAAAAGAAGGGAAAUCAAAGAGAAAUUUCAAGGGUGAGAGGGGAGUGAAUAGUAACCAAGGGUUUGGAAAUUUGAAAGAAGUGGAAAGAAAAAGUGGAAGUUCCAAAGGGAAAGAAAAGGAAGAGUAGAGAAGUAAAGCUUGUAGAAUAUUUUGGAAAUUCUAAGGAAUUUAUUUUUCCUCGCGCAGGUUGUAGAUUCAAAGAGCAGUAGAUCAAGAUCUGCAUCAACCCAGUCAGAGUUACAUCAUCAUCUAUAUUGGGGUAUAUUUUGUAAAUUUUUAUAUGAACUUGAUUUUGGAAAUAUGGCAUGUACAUAAGGUUUUAGAGAUAAAGUUGAAUAUGGUUUGAAACAGAUAUAGUUAAAUAUUUUAAUUUUAGUGUAAAUGUGGAUGAUUAGUAUAAGUUUCUGUGUUGAGAUUAA